rnacentral:miRNA from 1 species
CAGCAGACACAUUCCAGCCAAUCCGCAGCAGACCCUCCCUCCCAGACCCUCCCACCUCCUGGACAGCAUCCAUUUUACGUUCAUUGUGAAGCUGCAUUCUUAGUGAGCUGUCCAGGAGGUGGGAGGGUCUGGGAGGGAGGGUCUGCUAAUGAUUGGCUGGAAUGUGUCUGCUG